rnacentral:tRNA from 1 species
UGUUCCCGCCCGGGAUCGAACCGGGGACCUUGUGCGUGUGAAGCACACGUGAUAACCACUACACCACGGAAAC